rnacentral:rRNA from 1 species
GUCGAGCGGUAGAGAGAAGCUUGCUUCUCUUGAGAGCGGCGGACGGGUGAGUAAUGCCUAGGAAUCUGCCUGGUAGUGGGGGAUAACGUUCGGAAACGGACGCUAAUACCGCAUACGUCCYACGGGAGAAAGCAGGGGACCUUCGGGCCUUGCGCUAUCAGAUGAGCCUAGGUCGGAUUAGCUAGUUGGUGGGGUAAUGGCUCACCAAGGCGACGAUCCGUAACUGGUCUGAGAGGAUGAUCAGUCACACUGGAACUGAGACACGGUCCAGACUCCUACGGGAGGCAGCAGUGGGGAAUAUUGGACAAUGGGCGAAAGCCUGAUCCAGCCAUGCCGCGUGUGUGAAGAAGGUCUUCGGAUUGUAAAGCACUUUAAGUUGGGAGGAAGGGUUGUAGAUUAAUACUCUGCAAUUUUGACGUUACCGACAGAAUAAGCACCGGCUAACUCUGUGCCAGCAGCCGCGGUAAUACAGAGGGUGCAAGCGUUAAUCGGAAUUACUGGGCGUAAAGCGCGCGUAGGUGGUUUGUUAAGUUGGAUGUGAAAUCCCCGGGCUCAACCUGGGAACUGCAUUCAAAACUGACUGACUAGAGUAUGGUAGAGGGUGGUGGA